GGUUAAGCGACUAAGCGUACACGGUGGAUGCCCUGGCAGUCAGAGGCGAUGAAGGACGUGCUAAUCUGCGAUAAGCGUCGGUAAGGUGAUAUGAACCGUUAUAACCGGCGAUUUCCGAAUGGGGAAACCCAGUGUGAUUCGUCACACUAUCAUUAACUGAAUCCAUAGGUUAAUGAGGCGAACCGGGGGAACUGAAACAUCUAAGUACCCCGAGGAAAAGAAAUCAACCGAGAUUCCCCCAGUAGCGGCGAGCGAACGGGGAGCAGCCCAGAGCCUGAAUCAGUGUGUGUGUUAGUGGAAGCGUCUGGAAAGGCGCGCGAUACAGGGUGACAGCCCCGUACACAAAAAUGCACAUGCUGUGAGCUCGAUGAGUAGGGCGGGACACGUGGUAUCCUGUCUGAAUAUGGGGGGACCAUCCUCCAAGGCUAAAUACUCCUGACUGACCGAUAGUGAACCAGUACCGUGAGGGAAAGGCGAAAAGAACCCCGGCGAGGGGAGUGAAAAAGAACCUGAAACCGUGUACGUACAAGCAGUGGGAGCCUCUUUAUGGGGUGACUGCGUACCUUUUGUAUAAUGGGUCAGCGACUUAUA
rnacentral:rRNA from 1 species